UACGAAGGGGGCUAGCGUUGCUCGGAAUCACUGGGCGUAAAGCGCACGUAGGCGGACUCUUAAGUCGGUGGUGAAAUCCUGGAGCUCAACUCCAGAACUGCCUUCGAUACUGAGAGUCUUGAGUCCGGGAGAGGUGAGUGGAACUGCGAGUGUAGAGGUGAAAUUCGUAGAUAUUCGCAAGAACACCAGUGGCGAAAGGCGGCUCACUGGCCCGGUACUGACGCUGAGGUGCGAAAGCGUGGGGAGCGAACAGG
rnacentral:rRNA from 1 species